CGGACCCGUCAGGUGUCGCAGCGCCACACGUCCGAGCAGACGAGAGGAGAUUCGGCUCCGCCGUUCCCAUUCCCUCGCAGCUGAGAACAACUACCGCCGAAAUAUUACUACCUCGGUACGCACCAGAAACUGUUGGAGCCUGUGGCAUACUGUUUGGAACUCAAUUGAAGGAUCCCGUGUUAUGCUGUGUCCGGAGAGCUGCCUUGUGGAGAUCAGAGACUGCUGCUGCUGGUGGUGGGGGGUGCCGAGAAGGUCCGGGAGUACAAACUGACUCAUGGAAAAGACCAGAGAUGAGGCAUGGGGUCAUGAACAAUUCCACCUCGAAGCAGCGAGAAAGAUUGAAGUAUCAAGGUGAAUGUGGGGGGGGGGGGGGGGACAGCGAUGGCCCCCAACGGAGACCGUCAGCAGCAGGAUCUGGGUCGGUAUUGUCCAGCCCCAAAUCGGCGACAGUAGGACUUGGGUCAGCACGCUCGACAGUGCUGGAACCCGGGUCAACGGUCAUUCUUUACAAAAGGACUGAAUUUGUGUGACUUCUCCUCACAUGCAGGCAAAAAGGCAUUUGCCAUAUUUUGAGAUUGAUGUGAUUAUUGUACUGUACUUUAUGUUGGCUUCCUUCAUUUUUCUGGUGUUUUCUGUCUUGUGGAUGAUUGGCAGGUGGGUGAUCUGUUAACUUUUGUGUGGGGGGGGGGUGUUGGAGGGGUUGGUGCCAUUGUUGCUGGUCUUUCCUACGAGUGAAGGGUUGGGGAUUGUUAUGUGUAGGAGUUGAUUAUUGUGGCUGCUUUUUGCCAGGGGAAGGGAAGGGAUUUUGGUGUCUGCAAGUUUUGCUUCUUUUCUCUUUCGUGCGGGGAGGGUGGAGUUGAUGUCUUUUCUUUCAACACCCAUGGUAUUUCUGUAUUUAGUGCCUAUCUGGGGUAGACAAAUAUCAGAGUUGUAUUUUACCUGCAAACUUUGACAAUAAAAUUAACCCAUGUCUGGUU